rnacentral:tRNA from 1 species
AGAAAAGUAUUUAAAAUAAAUAAAAGCUAAUUUGCAGUUAGAAAUUGAAUAGUAUCCUUUUCU